rnacentral:rRNA from 1 species
UACAGAGGUCCCAAGCGUUGUUCGGAUUUACUGGGCGUAAAGGGUGCGUAGGCGGUCGCGUAAGUCAGGUGUGAAAUCUCAGGGCUCAACCCUGAAACUGCACUUGAUACUGCGUGGCUCGGGUACUGGAGAGGAGACUGGAAUUUACGGUGUAGCAGUGAAAUGCGUAGAUAUCGUAAGGAAGACCAGUGGCGAAGGCGAGUCUCUGGACAGUUACCGACGCUGAGGCACGAAGGUCAGGGGAGCAAACGGG